rnacentral:rRNA from 1 species
UACGUAGGGGGCAAGCGUUGUCCGGAAUUAUUGGGCGUAAAGCGCGCGCAGGCGGUUGUUUAAGUCUGGUGUAUAAACCAAGGGCUCAACCUUUGGACGCAUUGGAAACUGGGCAACUGGAGUGUAGGAGAGGAAAGUGGAAUUCCACGUGUAGCGGUGAAAUGCGUAGAGAUGUGGAGGAACACCAGUGGCGAAGGCGACUUUCUGGCCUAUAACUGACGCUCAGGUGCGAAAGCUAGGGGAGCGAACAGG